rnacentral:rRNA from 1 species
GGGGAAUUUUCCGCAAUGGGCGAAAGCCUGACGGAGCAACGCCGCGUGAGGGAGGAAGGCUCUUGGGUUGUAAACCUCUUUUCUCAGGGAAGAAAACUGACGGUACCUGAGGAAUAAGCAUCGGCUAACUCCGUGCCAGCAGCCGCGGUAAUACGGAGGAUGCAAGCGUUAUCCGGAAUUAUUGGGCGUAAAGCGUCCGCAGGUGGCUUUUCAAGUCUGCUGUCAAAGCGUGGAGCUUAACUCCAUAUAGGCGGUGGAAACUGAAAGACUAGAGGCCGGUAGGGGUAGUGGGAAUUCCCAGUGUAGCGGUGAAAUGCGUAGAGAUUGGGAAGAACAUCGGUGGCGAAAGCGCACUACUGGGCUGGACCUGACACUGAGGGACGAAAGCUAGGGGAGCAAAAGGGAUUAGAUACCCCUGUAGUCCUAGCCGUAAACGAUGGAGACUAGGCGUAGCUUGUAUCGACCCAAGCUGUGCCGAAGCUAACGCGUUAAGUCUCCCGCCUGGGGAGUACGCACGCAAGUGUGAAACUCAAAGGAAUUGACGGGGGCCCGCACAAGCGGUGGAGUAUGUGGUUUAAUUCGAUGCAACGCGAAGAACCUUACCAGGGCUUGACAUCUGUAGAACCUUGAUGAAAGUUGAGGGUGCCUUCGGGAGCUACAAGACAGGUGGUGCAUGGCUGUCGUCAGCUCGUGUCGUGAGAUGUUGGGUUAAGUCCCGCAACGAGCGCAACCCUCGUUCUUAGUUGCCAUCAUUAAGUUGGGCACUCUAGGGAGACUGCCGGUGACAAACCGGAGGAAGGUGGGGAUGACGUCAAGUCAGCAUGCCCCUUACGUCCUGGGCUACACACGUACUACAAUGGUCGGGACAGAGGGCAGCAAACUCGCAAGAGCAAGCGAAUCUCAUCAAACUCGGCCUCAGUUCAGAUUGCAGGCUGCAACUCGCCUGCAUGAAGGAGGAAUCGCUAGUAAUCGCCGGUCAGCAUACGGCGGUGAAUUCGUUCCCGGGCCUUGUACACACCGCCCGUCACACCAUGGGAGCUGGCCACGCCCGAAGUCGUUACCCUAACCCUAUUGGGAGGGGGAUGCCGAAGGCAGGGCUAGUGACUGGGGUGAAGUCGUAACAAGGUAGCCGUACCGGAAGGUGUGGCUGGAUCACCUCCUUU